rnacentral:rRNA from 1 species
AAGGAAUAUUGGUCAAUGGGCGCAAGCCUGAACCAGCCACGCCGCGUGAAGGAAGACGGCCCUAUGGGUUGUAAACUUCUUUUCUACGGGAAUAAACCUCAGGACGUGUCCUGAGCUGAAGGUAUCGUAGGAAUAAGGAUCGGCUAACUCCGUGCCAGCAGCCGCGGUAAUACGGAGGAUCCAAGCGUUAUCCGGAUUUAUUGGGUUUAAAGGGUGCGUAGGUGGGAUGAUAAGUCAGAGGUGAAAGCUAGCAGCUUAACUGUUAAAUUGCCUUUGAUACUGUUAUUCUUGAGUAUAGUUGGCGUUGGCGGAAUGUGACAUGUAGCGGUGAAAUGCGUAGAUAUGUCACAGAACACCGAUCGCGAAGGCAGCUAACGAAACUAUCACUGACACUGAUGCACGAAAGCGUGGGGAGCAAA